rnacentral:rRNA from 1 species
CCUACGGGAGGCAGCAGUGGGGAAUAUUGGACAAUGGGGGGAACCCUGAUCCAGCGACGCCGCGUGAGUGAAGAAGUAUUUCGGUAUGUAAAGCUCUAUCAGCAGGGAAGAAAGAAAUGACGGUACCUGAGGAAUAAGCCACGGCUAACUACGUGCCAGCAGCCGCGGUAAUACGUAGGUGGCAAGCGUUAUCCGGAUUUACUGGGUGUAAAGGGCGUGUAGGCGGGAAAGCAAGUCAGAUGUGAAAUCCGGGGGCUCAACCCCCGAACUGCAUUUGAAACUGUUGGUCUUGAGUAUCGGAGAGGCAGGCGGAAUUCCUAGUGUAGCGGUGAAAUGCGUAGAUAUUAGGAGGAACACCAGUGGCGAAGGCGACUUUCUGGACUGUACCUGACGCUGAGGCGCGAAAGCGUGGGUAGCGAACGGGAUUAGAUACCCGAGUAGUC